rnacentral:lncRNA from 1 species
AUGAACCAUGUGAUUAAUAUCAGAUUAUUUCACUGGAUUUACAUAUGGGUUUAUGCAUGCAUAAUAUCUGUUUAUGCAUGUGGAUUUGUGUACGUUUGGCAACACACCUUUCUGCUGAUAAUUUUCUCUUUAAAAAUCAACGAAUUGCACAAGAUGAGAUAUUUAUGGUUUGUUGGUAACAAGUGAUGCAGGUUUUUGUUCAAAACUGUUCUUGAAGUUUUGGGUCAAACG